CUCACUUGGCCUGUCUCAGGGCAGCAGUUGCUUGGUUACUACCUUAGGCCAGAGAUACGGGUCAACAUUUUCUUUCUUUUUUCUUUUUUUUUGUGCGGUACCGGGGAUUGAACUCAGGACCUUGUUCUUGCGAGGCAGGCACAGCGCCACUGAGCUAAAUCUCUGGCCCAAGCAAUGGUUGGAAAGGAACAUAAGGCGCUUUAGGCAAAUCUUGCAGUUGAAGAAACUGAGGCCCAGGAAUGAGGCUAAGGAUCUUGUCGAAAGUCACAUGAACGUCUAACAGGAAGGAUCCAGGAGAGAAGAGACUGUAACUACCGAUCACAUAUGUGAACUGCACCUCUCACUUCUGUCACAUUCUCAGCCUUACUUAUCCUCAGUAUAACCCUCAACCUUUGAAGAAGCCAGUGUCUCUGAGGAUACACCGAACCCCUUCAUAUUAUCUCCUUUCAUUUUCUAAAACAAUUUGCCUAAGGGGGCAUUUGGCAAUAUCUGGAAAUAUUUUUGCUUGUCCAAGUGGCAAAAGGGGGAGAAGUACUACUGGUAUCUGGUGUUGGAGAAGCCAGGGUUGCUGCUAAGCAGUCUACAAUGCACAGGGCAGUUGGCCCUGCCCAUAAUUACCACGUUCAAAAUCUCAACAGUACUGAGGCUGAGAAUCCCUACUUUAAACUUUUUUUUUUC